GAGGGCUGGAUGGUCGCGGGCGGGCUUGACCCGUUCGAGGAAAGUCCGGACUCCACAAAACGAUGGUGCCGGGUAACGCCCGGCUGGGGCAACCCAAGGGAAAGCGCCACAGAGAACAGACCGCCGUUGCGCCCGUAUGGGAUCAACGCAACGGUAAGGGUGAAACGGUGGAGUAAGAGCCCACCGCGGGACUGGCAACAGGACCGGCACGGCAAGCCCCACCAGGAGCAAUGCCAAAUAGGGACCGCGCGCGGGGAUCGCGUCGGCGUAAGCCGAUACCGCCCGCAGGGAUGUUUUGCCCCGGUGGUCCGGGUUGGCAGCUAGAGGCGUCAUGGCAACAUGGGGCCAAGAUGAAUGAUCAUCCAUGAAGGGCAACCUUCGGGACAAAAUCCGGCUUAUAGGCCCUCC
rnacentral:RNase_P_RNA from 1 species